AACGAACGCUGGCGGCAGGCUUAACACAUGCAAGUCGAACGCCCCGCAAGGGGAGUGGCAGACGGGUGAGUAACGCGUGGGAAUCUACCCAUCCCUACGGAACAACUCCGGGAAACUGGAGCUAAUACCGUAUACGCCCUACGGGGGAAAGACUUAUCGGGGAUGGAUGAGCCCGCGUUGGCUUAGCUAGUUGGUGGGGUAAAGGCCUACCAAGGCGACGAUCCAUAGCUGGUCUGAGAGGAUGAUCAGCCACAUUGGGACUGAGACACGGCCCAAACUCCUACGGGAGGCAGCAGUGGGGAAUAUUGGACAAUGGGCGCAAGCUUGAUCCAGCCAUGCCGCGUGAGUGAUGAAGGUCUUAGGAUUGUAAAGCUCUUUCACCGAUGAAGAUAAUGACGGUAGUCGGAGAAGAAGCCCCGGCUAACUUCGUGCCAGCCGCCGCGGUAA
rnacentral:rRNA from 1 species